rnacentral:rRNA from 1 species
CAGCUGGUGCGUAAAUCACCCAAUCCUGACACGGGGACGUAGCCCAACAAAUAACAAUACGGAACCAUCUGGUUUUGUAAUUGGAAUGAGUACAACGUAAAUCUCUUAACGAGGAUCAAUUGGAGGCCACGUCUGGCGCCAGCAGCCGCGGUAAUUCCCGCUCCAAUAGCGUAUAUCAAAGUUGUUGCAGUUAAAAACCUCGUAGUUGAAAUUUUGGGAAGCUGAACCAAGUCAGAAUCUGUCUUGGUUCAUCUUUCCCUAUUCCCAAACAUGUCCUUGCCCAUUAACUUGUGCUUGGACGGAGUUGUGUCAUUUACUGUGAACAAAUUAGGGUGUUUAAAGCCCGCCUUUGUUUGGAUACAUUAGCAUGGAAUAAUAAGAUAUAACUUUGGUUGUAUUUUGUUGGUGACUACCAGAGUAAUGAUUGACAGAAACUGUUGUGGGUAUUCGUAUGAGCAUGUCAGAGGUGAAAUUCUUGGAUUUUGAUCAGACGAACUACUGCGAAAGCAUUUACCAAGGAUGUUUUCAUUAGUCAAGAACGAAAGUUAGGGGAUCGAACAUGAUUAGAUACCAUCGUAGUCUUAACCGUAAACUAUGCCGACUUGC